rnacentral:lncRNA from 1 species
AGUAGGCGAGUUACAGGGUAGAGGCUGGAGGUGCUCAGUAGAUGCAGAUAUUCCUUGCAUGACUGGUGCAGCCUACAUUGCCACCAGCUUCUGGGAGAGGGAGUAGAGGGUUUUGUGUACUCCUCCAUGGCAGUUGCAGAAGGGGGUUAAGGUCACCUCCAUUGCCACCACCCCCCUUGCCAACAUAGUGUGUAUAUAGUCACUAUUUGAGACCAAAAUGUCUCCAUUCUCUUGAGGAGAUGUAUCAUGGGCAGCUAACAGGAAGAAGGGAGCUGAACUGGUGUCAUUUGGCUUCUUUUGGGAUCCAGUGAUUGUGACCAUUUGUAGAUAUGACCUCUCUGGGUUUGGAGGUGGAGUGAAACUAUCUGAUUCACAAGAUGGUGAGAUAGAACACAUCCUACUUUGAAGAAGCCAAAUCCAGGUUUAUGCUGACCUGGCACUGCUUCACCCAGCAUUCCAGAUGCAAAUGCGGAGAAUGGAGAGCCUGCAAGCAACUGGAUGGCUGUAGUUUGGAAAUAAAUAGCCCUGGAGCCGGGAUGCUCCUAAAGGAAGCCUGUAUGCGCUCAACUUGGUGGAUGCUGAAGUGCUGGGAGUCCUGAACAGGUGGCUGAAAGAGCAGCUUGGUCUCCCAACCUUGAUGCCUCAAGAAGGUACACAGAAAAUGGCCGUCAGCAUCCUUACAGAGUCACUAAGAAGACAAAAUUGGAGCAUCAAAGCCAUCCAGGAAGUGAAAAUACUCCAACCUGGGUCACACACAGAAAGCAGGAGAAAACUUUAACAUGUAUCCUGGCUGAAUCAGUGUCUAAAAGCAGCAUUUGAAAAUAUGAAACAAAAACUUUAAAUCAUUAGUUGCAAAGCUCAGAACAAAAAUAUCCCACAACAUCCUUAUAUACUCAAGAAAAAUGUGCAAUAAGAAUUGAAUAAACUCUGGAAAGCAAUAGAAGGAAAAAAUAAAUAAGAUAAAUAAAAAUAAAUGCUAUCUUAGUACCCAAAAGACCCCAAAUAUUAUUGGAUAUGAGGAGCAUGAGAGAGGUUAACAGAAUGGAGAUAAAGCAAAGGUGGGAACAAAAGUCAUAUGGAGACCACGUGCUAGACAUCAGUCCCAGAAGUGUCUAAAGCAGAAAACACACAAUGAGAAAUAACACGUACCUAAAACUACAGGCUACAGUGAAUUUCUAUCAGGAAAUGAGGAUCUGAAGCCCCAUCUUUAAGGAUUCACAGUACACUUU